rnacentral:rRNA from 1 species
UACGAAGGGUGCAAGCGUUACUCGGAAUUACUGGGCGUAAAGCGUGCGUAGGUGGUUUGUUAAGUCUGUUGUGAAAGCCCCGGGCUCAACCUGGGAAUGGCAAUGGAUACUGGCAAGCUAGAGUGCGGUAGAGGGUAGUGGAAUUCCCGGAGUAGAGGUAAAAUUCGUAGAUACCGGGAGGAAUACCUGAGGCGAAGGCGGCCAUCUGGUCUGCAACUGACGCUGAAGCACGAAAGCACGGGGAGCAAACAGG